rnacentral:rRNA from 1 species
UACAGAGGUCCCAAGCGUUGUUCGGAUUCAUUGGGCGUAAAGGGUGCGUAGGCGGCGCGGUAAGUCGGGUGUGAAAUCUCGGGGCUUAACUCCGAAACUGCAUUCGAUACUGCCGUGCUUGAGGACUGGAGAGGAGACUGGAAUUUACGGUGUAGCGGUGAGAUGCGUAGAUAUCGUAAGGAAGACCAGUGGCGAAGGCGGGUCUCUGGACAGUUCCUGACGCUGAGGCACGAAGGCCAGGGGAGCAAACGGG